rnacentral:rRNA from 1 species
UGGGGAAUUUUGGACAAUGGGGGAAACCCUGAUCCAGCCAUCCCGCGUGUGCGAUGAAGGCCUUCGGGUUGUAAAGCACUUUUGGCAGGAAAGAAACGUCAUGGGUUAAUACCCCGUGAAACUGACGGUACCUGCAGAAUAAGCACCGGCUAACUACGUGCCAGCAGCCGCGGUAAUACGUAGGGUGCAAGCGUUAAUCGGAAUUACUGGGCGUAAAGCGUGCGCAGGCGGUACGGAAAGAAGGAUGUGAAAUCCCAGAGCUCAACUUUGGAACUGCAUUAUUAACUAUAGAGCUAGAGUGUGUGAGAGAGAGGUGGAAUUCCGCGUGUAGCAGUGAAAUGCGUAGAUAUGCGGAGGAAAGCCGAUGGGGAAGGCAGCCUCCUGGGAUAACACUGACGCUAAUGCACGAAAGCGUGGGGAGCAAACAGG